rnacentral:tRNA from 2 species
GCCCCUGUAGCUUAAACAUUAAAGCAUUG